AUUGAACGCUGGCGGCAGGCCUAACACAUGCAAGUCGAGCGGAUGAAGGGAGCUUGCUCCUGGAUUCAGCGGCGGACGGGUGAGUAAUGCCUAGGAAUCUGCCUGGUAGUGGGGGAUAACGUCCGGAAACGGGCGCUAAUACCGCAUACGUCCUGAGGGAGAAAGUGGGGGAUCUUCGGACCUCACGCUAUCAGAUGAGCCUAGGUCGGAUUAACUAGUUGGUGGGGUAAAGGCCUACCAAGGCGACGAUCCGUAACUGGUCUGAGAGGAUGAUCAGUCACACUGGAACUGAGACACGGUCCAGACUCCUACGGGAGGCAGCAGUGGGGAAUAUUGGACAAUGGGCGAAAGCCUGAUCCAGCCAUGCCGCGUGUGUGAAGAAGGUCUUCGGAUUGUAAAGCACUUUAAGUUGGGAGGAAGGGCAGCAAGUUAAUACCUUGCUGUUUUGACGUUACCAACAGAAUAAGCACCGGCUAACUUCGUG
rnacentral:rRNA from 1 species